GAUGAAGAACGUAGCGAAAUGCGAUAAGUAAUGUGAAUUGCAGAAUUCAGUGAAUCAUCGAAUCUUUGAACGCACAUUGCGCCCCCUGGUAUUCCGGGGGGCAUGCCUGUCCGAGCGUCAUUACAACCCUCAAGCUCAGCUUGGUGUUGGGCCCCGCCGCCCCGGCGGGCCCUAAAGUCAGUGGCGGUGCCGUCCGGCUCCGAGCGUAGUAAUUCUUCUCGCUCUGGAGGUCCGGUCGUGUGCUCGCCAGCAACCCCCAAUUUUUUUCAGGUUGACCUCGGAUCAGGUAGGGAUACCCGUUGAACUUAAGCAUAUCAAUAAGCGGAGGA
rnacentral:misc_RNA from 1 species